AACGAACGCUGGCGGCGUGCCUAACACAUGCAAGUCGAACGAGAAAGUUUCCUUCGGGAAACCAGUAAAGUGGCGCAAGGGUGAGUAACACGUGAAUAAUCUACCUAUGAAUUCGGGAUAACUCGACGAAAGUUGCGCUAAUACCGGAUAAGACCACAUCUCUUAUGUGAUGUGGCCAAAGGAGUCUCAAACUUCGUUUAUAGAUGAGUUCGCGGACCAUUAGCUUGUUGGCGGGGUAAUAGCCACCAAGGCUACGAUGGAUAGCCGGCCUGAGAGGGUGAUCGGCCACACUGGAACUGAGACACGGCCCAGACUCCUACGGGAGGCAGCAGUGGGGAAUAUUGGACAAUGGGCGAAAGCCUGAUCCAGCCACGCCGCGUGAGUGAUG
rnacentral:rRNA from 1 species